UAAUAUCCUUAACUGGAAAGGCUUCUGG
rnacentral:sRNA from 1 species